CAUACCUAUCGUUUCUGUUCUCCGCUGUCUUCAACAUUCCUAGUGUAGCAUUUGUGUUUUGUGUGAGUGUUGUGUAUGUGUGUUUUGUGUUGUGUUUUGUGUGAGUUUUGUGUGUGUGUUUUGUAAUGUUGCUGUGUGUGAGUGUUUUGUGUUUGUGAUUUGUGUGGUUGUUGUGUGUAUCUGUUUUGUAAGAGAGUGUGUGUAUUGUGGUUUGUUUUGUGUAAGUGUUGAGUGUGUGUGUUUUGUGGUAUGUUUUGCGUGUGUGUUUCAGUGUGCUG